UCUCUAAACAUUUAUCAGCUCUACAGGUAUUAUAAGGGGUCUUCUUGAUUAGGCUGUGAUUUUUCUGUUUGUUUGUGGGGUUGCUUUUGUUUUAGAUGGUGUUUGGCAUUUACAAGCAGUCUGUGCUUAAGGACCUACUAUGGACCUCUGGAUCUACUACUUAGCUGAAGUAGCCUACAAGUCCAGCUGUGAGCAGCAAAGAUCCUGAGCGUUUGAAAAUUUCCCUUCCGUUCUGUCUGGAGAGCUGCAAAAGAAAGGCAAGGUCUUCUCAGAAUGGAAGGAGUAUGGAGCUCAGCAGAUUUCUGCUCAGGACUGUCCAGCCACUGUGGGAGUCAUUGCUUUCGUUCCUGAGAAAAAGAUGCAGUUGCUUUGGAGAGCAAUUCUGCACAGAAGGAUUCUCAUCACCUGCUGACCUAGUGGAAGAAAGAUGUUCUAAGACAGCAGAGGUCCCUCUUUGGUUUGUUCCAGAGUCCAUUUGAGGGAGUCCAUUUGAGGAAAAAGAAAAAUUGAGGUUACCUCAGGACCAGUUCAGAAACAACCAUGCUAUUUUGCAGAGAUGCGAUUGGAAGAAAAUGGAGAUCACCCGAUGUGUGUUAAAGGAUCGGGCAAUGGCAUCCACUGUAAGAUACGUACCUGAUACUGACCAGCACAUCUGCUGCUAUGUUACAUGCUUUGUAUGCGGAUGGGUAAGUCCAAAAGACAUAAAUAUGCUCGUCAUUGCAGUGAAUGAUGUGGAGAAAGAGCACUGGGAACUUUUGUUCUCCAUAAAAAGCUAUUUAGAAGGUAGGCAUAAUAAAAAUUCCACAAGUGCAGUGGUAAGGAUUUUUUCUAAAAGUUACCUGGUGGAUACAUCAAACACUGUCACCCGCUACCUACUGAAGGUAAGGAGAAAUUUUUUGAUAAUGAAUAUUUCUCUAGCUUGUUUGCUGCAAGCUUUUUGCUCCGUGUACCAAGCUGUGCUGACAGUCAUUGUUAAUAGCUGACUAAUGGGUUUGGUGACAGCUAAUUUUAUAUCUUAUAUCAGAAGGGUAUUAAAAGGCUCCCAGUGCCACUACACAUUGAGGAUGAAAGUCUGGUUGGAGGGAGCUGUCCAGUACU